rnacentral:rRNA from 1 species
AUACAGAGGGUGCGAGCGUUAAUCGGAAUCACUGGGCGUAAAGCGCGCGCAGGCGGUCUUUUAAGUUGGAUGUGAAAGCCUACGGCUCAACCGUAGAACUGCAUCCAAAACUAUUAGACUAGAGUGUGGGAGAGGAAGAUGGAAUUAGUUGUGUAGGGGUAAAAUCCGUAGAGAUAACUAGGAAUACCAAAAGCGAAGGCAAUCUUCUGGAACACUACUGACGCUGAGGCGCGAAAGCGUGGGGAGCAAACAGGAUUAGAUACCCCGGUAGUCC